CAGUGCCCCUUUCUUUCAUAGAGUCAAAGAACACAAGGAGAAGACGCAUUCGAGGUAGCGGAGCGACGGACGUCCACCUAGAUCUCUUUCUCUCUGUUCGAACAGGUCACGGUUUUGAAAGCCUCGCCUGCCCCACGCGUUGCUGCUCGCUUACGCAGGGUCACCUCCCUGCCUUUUCAGCGUUCUCGCCCCUGUUCUGCCACGACCCGGGCUUGCGCCUCUCUCUGCGGUGCUUCCCAUUCUUCUUUGUCUGAGACCAGCCUCUUCGCCCUCUCCUUUUUUUUCCUUGCCUCUUGCCGCUUGCCUCCUCCCCGCCCUUAAAUCUGUUAUCAGAUCCAGCGGUGGUUGUGGUUGUUGCUUUCGCUGUUUGGGUUUUGUUGGUUCAUCGAUCUCGAGGAGCGAGCACCACACACAAAACGCGUCAAGUGUUUUUCUCGUGUUUUCGCAUAUUUGGCUACGAUAUACCACUGCUGUUGCUGUUGCUGAUUUUUUUUGUUGUUUGCUUGUUUGCCUCGUGUACGGCACGCCGUUCGCCUCACCUUUUCUUAUUAUUAUUGUUUUUGUUCACUGUCAAGGAACCGACGUCCUCGUCGAUCUCGCGCGUUUUUGCUCUGUUUGUUUGCUCUUCCCCGUCGCUGUUCCCUCCUCUCUGACAAAAAAAGUACAGUGAGGGGGUGAGCGUCGGUGCUUUUUUGUCUUGUUUUUUUUUUCCUGGUGUGCACGUCUGUGCGUGCUCGUGUGCAAUACCAUUGCUGUUGUUUUUGUUGUGUUUUUUUUUUUUUGGGGGGGGGUUGUGUUUCUCUGUGUGCCCUUUUCGUCUCUUGGUCGUGCCAGCCUUCUCACGUCUUCCUCCGCCUCCUCCCUUGUUACAUACACAUAGACCGCGCAUACAGCCAUCUCUUUGUCGUGCUUCUUCUUUUGUUUGCUCGGUUUUUUUAAGGGCUUCUCCCUCUCUCUCGUCCCACCGCUCUCUCGUCGCCACCAGACGCACUCGCAUCAGCAGGCGAAUUGCAUGUGAGUGACGGUGGGUGUUACCCCAUUUUCAGCUGCCCGCCGCACAUACAAGCACCUCUAUUUUUGUUUUGUGUGUGCUUGUGUGUGUGCGCGCGUGUCCUUCGGCCCACUGCUGCGUCCGUUUUUCGUUCCUUUCUUUGACCCGCCUUGUUGUGUCUGGUUGUUUCUCCUCUCUCCCCCUCUUCGUCGUGGUGUUUGCCGUCGUCGUUGUUAUUCCCUGUGGACGGAUCAGGCGACUUGUCGUCUUCGUCUACUCUCUCCUUCCCUGGAACGCCACGAUUUUUCUUUGGUUCGGCUCUCUCUCUCUCUGAGCUGCAUCAGCGCUGUCACGUGCUCAUGCGCUCGCUUAUCUGCCGCCGCGCAGCUGUCGACUUUGGUGUUGGUGUCGGCGCCUCUCCCAUCGCGCAGUCACGGGGCAUUUACUCUUUUCAUAGACUCACACGCGCCCACGCUCUGGGCUGGGGCUCGUCGUCGUUCUUCCGGGGCUUUCCAAUAGAACAGGGUGGUCGCCGUGGCUACGGCACGACGGCUUCCCUCCUCAAACAACACCAGCCCACCAACGCCGGCGCUUCUGCAGCAUCGUCGCGCACGAGCGGUCAGGCAAGCCGCAAGCAACCUCGGCAGAAGGCAGCGGCGGACUAUGGUGCUGCUGAAGCUGUUGUGGAGCCUGAGCUAGAUACCGUUACGGCGGCAGCGUCCCUGCCGCUCGCCGCGUCGUCGUCGGAGGCCGUCGUGGAAACUGAGAUCCGCACUGCAUCGUCGGUGCCGCGUCACGUGUCACGACAAGUCGCCGCGGGCAGGCCCAAGGCUGUCAAGCGAGGACGGAGAAAGCAGGAAGCAGCUGCCACCAGUGCGACGCGUUGCGCAAGCACACCAUCGGCCAACUCGGCCUCCUCCCCCUCCACGGUCUCGUCACGCAAGGGUCCCAACGAUGCCGCGACCACCAUACCGCCACUUGAACCUCCAGCAUCGCCCCUCGUCGCUGGUGAAGACGGUAUCAUCGUCGCCACCUCGUCGUCGCGGGGAAAGAAGCCCGGAAGGCGUGGAUCGGCUGGUUCGCUCCUAUCCUCGGACGCCGCUGGCAGUGCUGCCGCUGGCUUGGAGCCAACCGUGACAGUCGCUGCCAAUGCUGCGCACACCGCCGCACUAACGCCGUCCUCUCUCCUCGGCUCACCGCAGCCGGUCUACUACACGCACAACAUGAUGGGCACAACCCCCCGCACAGAGGAGCAGCGUGUCGCGGAGCGGUGCAGCAUCACCAAGCUGAUCAUGGUCUCCGGCUCCGUGUCUUUUCUCUCCACAACUCUUCCGCGUAGCGAAGGGCCGCUGAAAAUGUACGUGAAGGACCUCAACCGUGCACAGGCGCCGACGCACGCCUCCGUUAGAGCGCCUGGGCAAGAUGCGGCCCACAGCCAGCGGAAUGCUGCGACGAGCACAGGGCAAGAAAGUGGCGGCAGUGACCAUAUCGCUGCUGGCACGCACACGCUUCCUGCGAUUUCUGAAAAGCAGUUCCUCGAGCUGUGGCAGCGCCUCUGCGCGGAGCAGCUCGCCACCAACACUGUCUGCAUCCAUGUGCGUGAAAUGGAACAACUGGUACCACCGCUGCACCUCCAACUGCCUGCCGUAACAGAUGCAGACAAGAGCGAAAGCGUCGAUGCACCAGCUGUACCAUCCGGCGAAACGACGGCAUCCACGCAGCGCGAGGGCAAGACGCGCGGGCGCCGCGGACGGCGCCGUGGUAGUGCUCGUGCGGCAAACCCUUUUACAGCCCCUGCCUCCACUUCAGCGCCGCCCACCCCGCCACUGCCGGCGCUUUCCCCUGUGGAGCGCAUUCUCGCUUUGCAGGCGUGGAAAAAAGAGGCGGUGCGCCGCGCCGAGGAGACGCAAGCCCGCUACCUGGUGCCUGCUCACUAUCACGCCAUCACGCGGGUGCGCUUCCACGAUCCCCACCAGACCGACUUGACAGUGGCGAUGGGCAGCGGGUGGUGCAAGAGCAUUGCCUCCGUCCUGCGCGCCAUUGUGCGCAGCAUGCCGCAAGACCGGCGCGGCGCCGACUCGGGCAGCUCCGACAGCGACAGCAGCGCCAGUUGGCUCACUGCUGAAGGGGAGGAAGACGACGGCGACAACACGGUCCCGCCUUUCGAGAUGCCCGACCCAUCCGUGUACAGUAGUGAGGUGGCCACGCAAGCCGCCGACGACGCGCCGGCGCCGGAGCAGCCUGGCUUCCUCACCUCUCCCUACACGGUGAAGCCGCUGCUGACGGUGUGCGCGAGCUGCGUGCCGCGUCGCGAGGCGUGGAUCGGCACGUGUGCACCUGGCCCAUCGGCCACGUCCGCCUGUGGCGCGGAAUCGGAGUGGAGUCCCUACUCGGUGAGGGCGGUUCCAACGGUGCCGCGCUACUCGACCCGCAUCACCAUCAUGCUCGAACACGAUGACAUGGACCCUUCCGACCUCGUUUCCCUCGCGGAAAUCAGUACGACGCGCAAGUCCUCCUCGUCCUCUGGCGCAGAGAUGCAUCAGUCUCGGGAUCGGCAGCACGACGCCUCGGUCAGCGGCCGCGGCGUCAGCGCGACAGGGCUGCGGUCGGCCGUGCCAAACGGGAAAUCGUUGUCGUCUGAUGAAAAAGGCCACCCAGCCCCCAAAAAGCCGCUGCAUCUGUAUUGCCUCGUGCAAGAUGCGGGUGAGUACUAGCUUGUAUGCGGUCACGCAAGGCGAGAUGUGAGGCGAAAGCAAGAAUGGGCAGAGGGGCUCUCGGCGGGUGCAACGCGGAGUUGUCGCGCGGUCUCUCUCUCCGUCAACGACGAGCUCGGGAAGCAAAAGACAAAAAAAAAUGUGUGAAUAGCAGCGAAGCAGAGAAAAUCGCAUCGCCAUCCCUCCACCCGACGAGCACCUAUCUGCUCUGCGACGCGUGUGCAUUUUCAUAGAUGUACUGCAUGGCCCUUAACGUUUCAAGAAAAAAAAAUGGAGCGUGUGUAAUAGAGCGCGUACAUUGUUUGUUUCUGUUUUUUUUUUUUUUCGUAAAUGCUGGCACUGGCGGCAGCACGGGCGUGUGCGUUGUGUUGUGUGUUGACCCUCUAUGUGCUAAUGCUCCUUUUGUCGUUUGUUUUGUUUGUGCUCUGCUUACCUGGCAGACUUCAUGCUCCAUCCAUCCCAUACAUGCGUUCCUGUAUGGCAAGGAGAAACAGUCUGUACGUGUGUGUGUGUGUGUGUUACAGUAUUCGUGCGUACUUGGACGGCUCCGUUACCUACUAAUGGGUUGCUGAUCGAGGCUUCUUCGACGUCUCUUUCCUUGGCAUGUCUUCUUUCUUUCGGCGCGUAUGUUUUUACCUCACUGCUGACGGCCGUGGACGUUUCCAUCUUCGUCAGCAAGAGUAAAGAAAACAACGUGAGCGGCAGUCGCAGCCGCCUACCUGCCUUUCCCGUCACGCUCGUACGUGUGUGUCACGAAGUGUUCCCUUCCACCCUUCUCCUCCCCUCCCCCUCUCUCUCUUGGAGCGCCCGCCAUGUGGACAAGUACGCACACGAGGCAAGUGAGACGACGGUGCGUGUCUGUUCAUCUGUAUGUGCGCGCUUGCUCGCCAGAUCUUUUGCGUUCGUUUCACUCUCACCUAUGUGGCUCGCGCGCCUCUCUUCCCUCUGUGCAUGUCCGUCUGUGCGACUGGCUCUCUCUCAAGCAGUGCUUUCGUUUUGUUUCUUUCUGUUUUUUUUUUUUUGGUUCUGUCGACUCGUUGAGUUGAAGUUGUCAGAAACCUCCUUGAUGUGGCAUUUCUCCACCAACACCCGCUGGCAGCGCUAGGUGCCCUGUCGAUGGCGCACAGUGCCGCUCGCAUCCUCUUCUCCCCUUUUCCUUUAUCUGUGGUGCCGUUCAGACUUGUGCAUGGGUCUCUAUGCGUGUGUGAGCGUGCGCUUGUGUCAUGUGCGCCGCUCAUUCUUUUUGCUUUAUGUGUGUGUGUGUGCUCUCUUUGGUUGUUGCUCGUGUUGUCUGCGUGUUGUGAUGCGUCGCUUCCACAAAUGGCGGUCGGCGCUGGCCCCAGUGCGUCUAAAAUACGUGUCGCUGUAGAAGUGCGCGGCGUGUCCUUUUUUUUUUUGCACCCUUGGCGGCUCUCCCUCGCCCAACGCUGGGCAGUGGAGAAAACUUUGAAACGGAAGACCAAACAAUAACAAAAAAAAAAAGAAGAAACGUUGCAUACCGUCAUGUAGGGUUGUCAUCGGAGUUGAUCACCGAG
rnacentral:misc_RNA from 1 species